rnacentral:lncRNA from 1 species
UGAACUAGUUUUUAUCUCUUGGAGGACACUCUCUCUUGGCUCUCAGUCCCUGCACUAAUAAGGAAGUCUUUUGUGAUGUUUUUGCUGCAAAGUGCAGAAUUCAGAUAAUCUUUACCUUGGGUGCCUGCCAAGUAAGGAGGAAAAGGAAAAUGGAGCAGGUGCCCCUUAGGGUACUUAUUAAUAUCCAUUUGGUUUUACAGUAUGGAGGGAGGCGCUUCCAGGUUGUGUACAUGUAAAUAAAG